AGUGGCAUUGCUAGGUUGUAUGGUAAGUUUACGCUUAACUUUUUGAGAAACUGCCAAAGUGUUUUUCAAAGUGACUGUACCAUUUUGCACUCCUACCAACAAU
rnacentral:pre_miRNA from 1 species